rnacentral:rRNA from 1 species
UCAAAUUCAGGGUAGGACUACCCGCUGAACUUAAGCAUAUCAAUAAGCGGAGGAAAAGAAACUAACAAGGAUUCCCCUAGUAACUGCGAGUGAAGCGGGAAAAGCUCGAAUUUAAAAUCUGGUAGUCUUUGGCUAUCCGAGUUGUAAUCUAGAGAAGCGUUAUCCGUGCUGGACCAUGUAUAAGUCUCCUGGAAUGGAGCGUCAUAGAGGGUGAGAAUCCCGUCUUUGACAUGGACUACCAGGGCAUUGUGAUGCGCUCUCAAAGAGUCGAGUUGUUUGGGAAUGCAGCUCUAAAUGGGUGGUAAAUUCCAUCUAAAGCUAAAUAUUGGCGAGAGACCGAUAGCGAACAAGUACCGUGAGGGAAAGAUGAAAAGAACUUUGGAAAGAGAGUUAAACAGUACGUGAAAUUGUUGAAAGGGAAACGCUUGAAGUCAGUCACAUUGAUUAGGGAUCAGCCUUGCUUUUGCUUGGUGUACUUUCUAGUUAAUGGGUCAGCAUCAAUUUUGACCAGUGGAAAAAAGUCAGAAGAAUGUGGCAUCUUCGGAUGUGUUAUAGCUUUUGAUUGUAUACAUUGGUUGGGAUUGAGGAACUCAGCAUGCCGCAAGGCCGGGUUUUACCACGUUCAUGCUUAGGAUGCUGGCAUAAU